UCUCCGUUGGUGAACCAGCGGAGGGAUCAUUGCUGGAAGCGUCUCACGGCGCACCCAGAUACCCUUUGUGAACCUAUACCUAUCUGUUGCCUCGGCGCAGGCUGGGGGACGUCACGUCCCUCCCGCUCUCUCUCGGGGCGGAGCAGGUCUGCCGGCGGCCCCACCAAACUCUUGUUUUUAGUGUCUCUUCUGAGUUAAACAAACAAAUGAAUCAAAACUUUCAACAACGGAUCUCUUGGUUCUGGCAUCGAUGAAGAACGCAGC
rnacentral:misc_RNA from 1 species